ACGAACGCUGGCGGCGUGCUUAACACAUGCAAGUCGAACGGAAAGGCCCUGCUUGCAGGGUACUCGAGUGGCGAACGGGUGAGUAACACGUGGGUGAUCUGCCCUGCACUUCGGGAUAAGCCUGGGAAACUGGGUCUAAUACCGGAUAGGAGCCAUUUUUAGUGUGAUGGUUGGAAAGUUUUUUCGGUGUAGGAUGAGCUCGCGGCCUAUCAGCUUGUUGGUGGGGUAAUGGCCUACCAAGGCGGCGACGGGUAGCCGGCCUGAGAGGGUGGACGGCCACAUUGGGACUGAGAUACGGCCCAACCUCCUACGGGAGGCAGCAGUGGGGAAUAUUGCACAAUGGGCGCAAGCCUGAUGCAGCGACGCCGCGUGGGGGAUGACGGCCUUCGGGUUGUAAACUCCUUUCGCUAGGGACGAAGCUUUUUGUGACGGUACCGAGAUAAGAAGCACCGGCGAACUACGG
rnacentral:rRNA from 1 species